rnacentral:lncRNA from 1 species
UAGGUUUUUAAGUUUCUCGUGGCGAAUUGGAAACAACAAUGGGUCUAAUGAUUCAGUGGUUAGAUGUUCAAAUUAUUCCAAGUCUUGAGUUCAAGUUUUAAUGUGAGCAAAGGGGAAACUUUGUUUUAGUUUUUGGUUUCAACUUUUUCUCUUAUAAAAAAAAAAAAAGAUUGAUAGGGUUAUGUCUAAAUAGGAUUGUUUUUAUUUAUUUUAUUUUAAUUAGAUUUUUAAAGAAAAAAAGGGGAAAAAUAAUCCCAAAAACUUCUUUCACGUUCUUCCUCUUUUAUUUUCUUUUGUUUUCCCCAAUUUCCAGAUUUUUUAUUUAUUUUCUACUUAUUUCUUCCGUUUCUCAAUUCUCCUCUUCUUCUUUUUAGUUUCUACAUUUUUGUUAUUUUUUGUUUGCCAAGGGUGAUUGUUCCUGUGUGUUUCGUCUAAUUGGAUGUUGAAUCGGGUAGGUUUUGUCUAUUGGGGUUCAUGAAAGAUUUGCGUCUAUUUCUUUUAUGUUGUUUAAUUGAAAUUCUUAUAGUUUAGUUUGUAUGUGAAAUUAAAGUUUCAGAACAGUUUUUGUGGAGGUGAAUCAGUUAGUUCUUGGUGCUUGAGAUCUCGAUUAUCAGUUGUGUUUCUGAACUAUUAGAGAUUAGGGACCAUUUAGUUGUCUAAAUACACGAUUUUCAGCCUGAUUCAGUGUGGUUUCGUAACCACACAGGUAGGCACACAGGCGUGUGCGUCACAUGGGCGGUCCACACAAUCGUGUGACCACUAUUUGGGGAUUUUAUCGUUUUUUACACGGGCGUGUGCCUUGAACACACAGCCGUGUUUCUUAGCCACAAUAGCAUGUGAGUUUGCCAUACAGCCGCGUGGUUCUGUUUUGCAGAUUUUGUUAUGUGUUGUAAAACUGACUUAUUUUAGUUCCUAUGUAAUCCAAUGCUCGUUUAAGCCAUUUUAAAUGUGUUUGAGACUCUAGUACAAUUUGGUUUCGUGAAUGUAUAUGUACUUAGAGGAUCAAUUUGAUUGUUUGUUUAAGUGUUAAUGAUGUGAUGAAUGAAUUUGAGUUUCUUGUUGUUAUCGUUACUUAUUAAAUGAAUACACGUGUAACUGAUUCUAAACUUGUUCAACUGAAUACGUACCUCUGUUUUUGUAAGUCUGUUAGUGAAUUGUGUGCAUUCCUACAUUUGCAUAAAAAAUAUGGGAUUUUGGUUGUGAAGAGAAAGAAGACUGAUUUGGCAGUUAGACUACAAUAUUUCUGUACAACGGUUUACCGCAUUAUAUUAUACAUAUGUCAGUUCAGCUGCAUAUUUUUAUUCAAGUGGCUUAGUUCCACUUUUGUGGUGUGUAGGGUGAAUGGCCUAUUAUGGUCUUAUGCGGUGUGCAGGGUGGAUUGGCCUACUGUAGCCUUAAUGUGGUGUGCAGGGUGGACGAAGUGGUGUUUGGUUGGUGGGGUAGGUUUUUACUAUUCAUUGCUACUUAUUUGAGCAUGACUCUUUCUGUUUAUAUUUGAAUAUGAAUGUUAGAUCAUCAGUAAUUAAGUUGUGAAGUUAUUGUGGUAAUGUAAUAUGCAUGUUAUGAAUUUGUGAAGUUCUAUGUGCUUUCGGUUCGCAUAUUUGUUAUGAAUGUUGAUAUUGCGAAUACGUUAAUUUAGUGGGAGUUCCAAUUUACAAACAAUUCUAUUACGCUGUUUACAUUCGUUAAAUUUUGUUCCAACAUGACCUCACUACUUAGUUUUAAGACUCACACUGAGCUCGCGUAGCCCAUCCCUUUAGUUUCCUCUCUUUUCAGGUAAACUUUCAGCUUGAAGGUUGGACUCGACAAAUCGGUGGUCUCAAAAUUUUAAAGAGUUUGGUUUGUUUUAAUGAUGUUUCUUAAAAUUCAGUUUAUUAUUUUCAGUUGAUUGGUAAGGAAGAUUAUAAUACUGUGGUAUGAGUUUUUGUUUUCGGACAAUUAGUACAUUCUGAGUUUAUGAUUUUCAAAACUUAAAAUUUCUAAUGUUGUGCAUGAGUUUAAAACUAAAUAUGAUUUUCUGGCAAUAUAACAGUUUAGUUCUUUCGAUGUAAAUUUCUGACUUAAAGCUCGUUGGUUUAAACUUUCAAACCUAUUUUGGAUUGCAAAAUCAAUAGCUCAUUAAGUGUAAACUAGUUACAAGUAGAAUUUUAAACUUUUGUAAAGUAUAUUGGGAAAAGUCGUUUUGGUGGAGUGGGUGUAAAAGAAAAAAAUUUUGAAAAGAAUUUAUUUGUUUAAAUUCGGGAUUAGUAUUGUGCCUUUUUGGUGGCUAAUGUGACCUCCAAGAUCCGGUCAAAAUUUUUGGGCCGAGUUUUGGGGUGGUACAUAACUAAUCCUUAUAUUUUUUUUAAGCAAUUUAAUUCUUGCCCUUUUAUUUUCUUUUUCUUUUUCUUUUUGUUAUGCAUAGCUAAAAAUAAUUUGAUGAAUUGCUGUUGAUGAAAAGCUACAUUUAGAGAAAUUAUUAGAUAGAUCUUUCCUACCACGUGAUACAAUCCAUCCUAAUAAUUUUAUACCAUAUAAAUCUUUUUCCACAUCAGCUUUUUUUAUUCUCACCCAAAUCUAUCAUGUUUCUUUUUACCUUUUAUUCUUUCCCCUUCCUUCAUUAACUGGACUUAUCGUAGAUGGAAUUUUUUUCCUUAUAUGUUGAUCAUAUUACACUUUUCCAAAUUAACGUCAAUUAGGUUCUAGUAAAAUUGAAUUUCAUCUAAUUUUUCAACCACCUUCUUCACAUUAACUAUAUUUGAAUAACAUACAAAUCCCAACAUUAAUGCCCCUCUCAAUCUUUUUUAGGGUUUGGCUAAUACACUUUGGGGUUGAACUUUUUUAUAGUUAUGCUUUGCAUGUGGGUUUAGGGGUUCAACUAUAUGACUUUCUCUUGCGGUGGUUUUAAGGAGUGAUGUGUUUUUUCCCUUAUUCUAAGGUAUUGAUUUUGACUUUGUGUUCUUAAAAUUGUGGGAGCAUGUUUGUUUGUUUUAUAAUAUUUGGAGAUUGGAGACAGGUAAUUCAAAGUGAAAUUAUACAAAACGAUUCUAAGGAACUUUUUAAGAAUUUUGUUGGUGAUGGUGGAAAGUUGUGAUGACUUUAUUGGCUUUGUUAUAUAAUCUCUAAAAAAAGUAAAAAACUUAUGUAUUUGGUCACAUACAUCAACAUUUUAAUCUGAAUUAGUUCUCAUGUCACGUGCAUUGUACGUGAUUUUAUGAAUUUAUUUUUUAAAUUUUUUAAAUAAUAUAUUGUUAUAGUUUUAAAAUAAUAUAUAUUCUAAUUAAAUGAGAAUUGAUCUAAUUUAUAAUAAAAUGUCAUUAAUUUUGAAAAAUAAUUGAGAGAAUAAAAUAACAUCUUAAAAUUAAUGAAAAUGAAUAAUUGGGAAAGCAACUGAUAGUAAAAUAUUAAAUACUUAGAUAAAAUAAUUUUUCAUUCGAAUAUGAGUCAAAAUUUCAUCUACAAAGAACCAUUACACUAAUAUUUAAUUGCCUUUGACAUAAUAUUUUACAACAAAAUGAUAAACAACAUUGACAAUGUAACAUCCCUGACAUUUCCCGAGAAGUGAAUAGUGUCAAUUCUGGUUGACAUGUAUUCGAAAUUUUCAAAGAAGGCAGAAAUAGAAAUAUUAAUAUUAGUGGAUAGGAUAAUUAGAUAUUAUAGGAAAAUAAAAAUGCUUUUGAAUUUAGAGAAAUUAAAUUAAGGAUUGGACUCAAUUGUAAUAGCGUGAAAAGUAUUGGACUAUAGUGUAAAAUUUAAAAAUAAGACUUGAUAGAAUUAGAUGGAUGAGAAAAAGAGAAAGGACUUAGAGUGUAAAUUGACCAUGAAACUACUUGGAGAUGUAACAUAAUGAUGAUUAGAUUUUACUCUAAUUAAAUACUAAUUUUUUUUUUUAAAAAGAGAAAGGUCAGAAGAAAAAGAUGAUGGGUAGAUAUUUGGUAUAGAAAGAUGUAGAAAAAGGCAGGAAAAGGAAAAGAACUAUUUUGGUUACUUUUAUCUUUUUCCUCAUGUCUCCCUCAGCUCCAUUUCUAUCAAAUUUCAUUUUCUUUUAUUUUAGUCCUCCUCCACCAUAUUUUAAACCCUUUCAAGUUUUAAACUCUAAAUUCUUUCAUAGGUUUUUAGUGAAAAUAAUAGAACAACCCUAUAGUGAGAUUAUCAUAUUGUGAAGGAUUUUGAGUAAAUAAGGUAAGAAUGAUGAAUUUUCUUAAGGGAAUUCAUAUUUAUCUAUUUGAAAUGCGUGGAAAUGAUGUAUGAUUAUUGAAUUGAUGAGUAAAUAUUGUGUAUGUGUAUUAUGACAAAGAAGUGGAGAAAAAAGGAAAAAAGAUUCAUACAAGCAUUCUAUGUAAGUAUAUCAAAAAUUUUACUUUAUUUUAAUCAAGUCUCUAAUUGAAAAUUUGAUUGAUUGGUUUAGUAAUAUUCAUGGGAUUUAUUAAUGUAUAAAAAUAUGUAUUUUGAACUAUGAGAAUUAUUUGAAAGUGAAAGUAUUUUCUUAUAGUGAUUUGAAAAAUAUAUGUACUAAUUUGAAGAAUAAAGACUUAAUUGCAAUGUAACUCCCCAAAAUUUCUAAUUUCAUUAUUAUGAAAAUAUGACACAAAUAUCUGUCAGUUUUAGUUAUUAUGUGUUUUAGGAGUGUUUGGGAGGUCCCAAGUUCAAGCCUUCGCUUGGGCAAAUUUUGGUAUUUUGAAUGAAUCAGGCCUUACUCUUGUUCAGUAGGCUUUUAUUUGAUUAUUGGGUAAAUUACAUUAGAAUAGAUCUGCUGGUCUGGUGGUUAAAUGAUGUGUUAUUGGUGGAGGUCUUGUGUUCAAAUCCUUAUGCAAAUAAGGGUAUUUUUUUUUGCUCAAAUUUCGGGAUAGAGUUGUGUAAUAGGGGAUUCUGAGUAGUGGAUGUGUAGUGGGAAUUAGGGGAGAAGAUUAAGGGAUUUUGGGAGUUAUAGGGAUUUUAUUUUAUUUUUUUCCCAUAACUGAAUUUUGACUCUCUUUUCUAAAAAUAUUUUGCCGUCUAUUAUUCUCUCUCUCCUCUUGUCAAAAUUAUUUGAGUUUUUCCAUCUUUCUCUUCUUUUUCUUCUUCUUGAUUUUUCCCUAAUCCAUUUAUUUUCCUUUGUUUUUGCACGCGGUUAGUGCUAGCUUAGUUUUGGUAAGUGUUUAUCUUCAUUUCUGUCAUAAAUCUCUUAGCGACUGAAGUGGUAAUGUUUUUUGUCUGUGGUUUGGGCGUAGGAGGAGGCUCGGACUUGUGAUUUCAGUCUUCUCGUCAUAACAAUAGUUAAAUGGAGGGUUAUCGUUGAUGGUAAGAUGGGUUUCUUUUCGUUCUUGGUUGUCAAUUCACUUGUAAAUCCAUUAAAUUGAUAUUGAGUAUCUUGAUUAUAGGCUUUGGAGUGCUCGGGGACUAUUUUAACAUCAAACAAAACCAGGUGUGUACCCGAAAUGCAAAAAAAAAGGAUUCGACGAAAAGCCGAAAUUGCUUGCUGUUUGGAUAGCAGUAGUAGGUUAAUUUUGAAAAAUCGCCAUAAAUUAUGGAAAUCAAAUUAGAGGAUGAAAAAAAAUAUAGAAUUAAAUCUUAUUGAGUCUAGUUUCUCAUAGAAGAAGCGAUGUAAAUAAUGGAAUUGUAAAUCGAGAGAUAUAAUAAACUUUGUGAGACAAGGUUAGAAUGAAUUCCGGUUCCCCUGUUCUGACUUUGGAAAAUCAUCAAAAAUUGGACAAAAAUAAUUAUGGGUUAAAAUUUACAUGUUUAAAUUAUUAAUGAGUCUACUUUUAAUAGAAAUAAAUGGAAACUUCAUCAAAAAAUUUUACUAAGAUAUAAUUAAUUUUUAGCAAAGAAGGGUUGAAGCUGUCAUACAGCUGAACAGGGGUAAUUUUGAAGAUUUUACUGUACUUAUUGGCUAAACCAAAAAUUUUAAAAAUUUUAUGGUAGAAAGGUAUCUGAGUCUGUUUCAAAGACAUCAAGCAAAUUUUAAUUUGGAAUUUUGUAGCUUAAGAUAUAAAUAAUUUGUAACAGUGACUCAAGUAGACUACUUUGAA